rnacentral:rRNA from 1 species
GAACGCUGGCGGCGUGCCUAACACAUGCAAGUCGAACGGGGGCCAGGGGCAACUCUGGUUCAGUGGCGGACGGGUGCGUAACACGUGAGGAACAUGACCUUCGGCGGGGGAGUAGCCGGCCCAACCGGCCGGGUAAUACCGCGUACGACCACAUGGGGACGAUCCCUCGAGUGGUGAAAGCAGCAAUGCGCCGAUGGAGUGCCUCGCGGCCUAUCAGCUAGUUGGUGAGGUAACGGCNCACCAAGGCGACGACGGGUAGCUGGUCUGAGAGGAUGGCCAGCCACAUUGGGACUGAGACACGGCCCAGACUCCUACGGGAGGCAGCAGUGGGGAAUAUUGCGCAAUGGACGAAAGUCUGACGCAGCGACGCCGCGUGUGGGAUGAC